rnacentral:lncRNA from 1 species
CUGGGGUGAUAGACGAUCUUGCAGUCAUAGUCCUUCAAAAGAUCCAUCCAGCAUCUCUGUCUCAUAUUUAACUUCCUCUACAAGAAGAUGUACUUCAAACUCUUGUGGUUAGUGUAAAUCUCAAAGGUUUGACCAAACAAGUAAUGACACCAUAUUUUCAGGGCAAAGAUAAUGGCCGUCAAUCCAGGUUGUGAGUAGGGUAGUUUCUCUAAUGCGGUUUUAACUGUUGAGAUCCAUAAGCGACCACUCUACCAUGCUGCAUCAAAAUGCACCCCAAGCCCAAUAUGAAAUGCAUCGUAGUAAACCUAAAACCUUCCAGUGUUAUCAACAAGGAUCAACAUUU